AUGAAAAUUUAUGCAUUCUGAUUGGGUCACUGAAAAUGUAAACAAACUUGCUGAUUGGUCUAAAACGAAAUUCCCCCUUGUUACUGUCUUGCUGAUCUCUUUCCAGCCUAAAAAUGGGCCUGCGAGCAUUUUGCACACCGGCAUCGUGAUUUUUAUUAUAUACGGCAAAAAUCAUUAAACUUUGAUAAAAGUGAUCAGAUCGUGUUGCAGUCUUUGGCCUGAACGUCAUAGCAAAGUCCUGUCCUCAGUUGGCUGGCAAUCGGAAAUUUUUUUUCAGAUAAAAAAAAAUAUUGCAGCUUUUUUCAUGAUGAAUUUGCGAGUGGUUUUCCUUUUGAGUCUUAUUCUGUGUUUGGCGGUGAUGAACACCGCUGGACUUUGGGGACGAGGGCGCUCACGUCGUAAGUGUCGUAAUAAUCCGCUAGGCGGGUACCUCAAAGGAUCUGAUCUCGGAUGUUGUGGAAACUACAAAGGUUGUUGCAGACUUGCAAGUAAAGUGUGCUUGGAGCAUGACAAAGUGUGUUUGUGUUGUGACAAAUGGCACUGCGGAUGGGAUUGUAAAAAACAUCAUUCGUGUGGCAAAUGAAUUGACACUCACGGGAAUACUAACUAACAUUGUCCUAAUAUAUGUUGUUGUUGUUUUGUGAAUAUACUAACAACUAUUUUAUUUUUGUAAUGCCGUUAUUGAAGACACAUAACGAGAUAUGGCACCAUUUUUAAUAACUAUUGUAAUGACACCUAAAUUUUUCAAUCCUGUUUUACUUUUUGCCCUUAUGUGAUAUGGUAAUUCAUAAAACGUAGCAUAAACCAUGUUUUUUGAUAAUAAUAAACUAGUAUUACAAAUUGUAAGAAAUGCUGCGCGUGAAUACACGUAGUGCCUUUAU